rnacentral:rRNA from 1 species
GGAUUAGAUACCCUGGUAGUCCACGCCCUAAACGAUGUCAACUAGGUGUGUGAAGAUAUAUUCUUUGCGUAUCGAAGCUAACGCGAUAAGUUGACCGCCUGGGGAGUACGGCCGCAAGGCUAAAACUCAAAUGAAUUGACGGGGGCCCGCACAAGCGGUGGAGCAUGUGGUUUAAUUCGAUGCAACGCGAAGAACCUUACCUGGUCUUGAUAUGUAGCGAAGGUUGAAGAGAUUCGACUGUGCCUUCGGGAACGCUAACACAGGUGCUGCAUGGCUGUCGUCAGCUCGUGCCG